rnacentral:lncRNA from 1 species
AAAUGGGGGCUCACCAGCUGCCCGUGGACGGAGUGGGAGGAGGCCCCCAGUCUCCAGGAGGCUCCAUGCCUCAGGCUCAGACCGGCAGCUCGGGAACCCAGCUAGCAGGAUGAACUCCAGCAGAGGAACUCAGCGCCAUUGCUGCGGCUGUGGGCCAGAAGAGAAAGAGAAAGAGAAAGAGAAUCCGCCUCGGUGUGACAAGCUGUGCCUCAGAACCCGAGCAGCAGGAGAGUGGGCAGCAGGGGGUGUCUGGCAGCAGAGAGGGGCUCAGGCCUGCUGGGUGGAGCGGCGCUGGGGGACACAGGUGGGCCCUGCGGGAGGCAGGAGCUGUCCAGGCAAAGCCGAGGGGAAGGGCCGGUAUGAAGGAGGCGCCCGAUGGGAGGGGCGAGUUCUCCCCCUGCACCAUUCCAGUCCACUCCGGGUUUCCUGUAGAAGGGGGAGCCCCCCAAAGUCCAUCUGUGUUUCCCCACCUCACUCACACACUCAGGGACCCUCGGCUGCUCCCCGGGGCGCUGACUGACAUUUUUGCCGAAUAAAGGGGCCCUGUGGGUUUCCUGUUCCCAUCUCAGCUUCUGCUGAACAGGGUAAACUUCCCUUCCGAAUAAAACCACCAGAAUGCGGUCUGGCCAAUUUCAGUCAUAGACCCACCAGGCCUGUGUCCCUGCGUGAGGGGGUGGGAAAAGCCCAGAGUGCCCCUACCCGUCCCCUGGGAGGGGUGGAAGGGCAGCUCUUGCUCCCCCUGCAGAGACGCUGCGCGGACUGGGAAGGCUGCCAGCCUCGCCCGGUCUCCCUGUGGACCCUGCCCUGACCCCACCCCAGCUUCCUGGCUCCCUGCACCCCACUGGGCUUCCCUGCCCCACAGAGCCUGGUGGUAGGGAGACCUCCGGAUGGAGACAGCCCACAGUCCCGGAGCCCCAAGGCAGGCACCAGUGAGUCCCUCGUGACGGCCUCGCUCCCUGCAUC